AUGAAGGGGUUAGCAGAUGAACUUGCUGCUGCAGGAAAGCCCCUCGAGGAGGAUGAUAUCGUCUCGCACAUCCUCGAGGGCCUCAUGCAUGAGCCCGACUAUAACGGGUUCGUCACCUGCAUCUCCACGCGCGCUGCCACCGAUCGGCCGAUCGGUCUCAGCGAACUCUUCUCACUGCUGCUCUCUGCGGAGGCCCGGAUCACCGCCCAGCACGCCGCCUUCUCCGCUCAUCACUCCGCCAACCUCGCUACGAAAGGUGGUCGUGGUGGCUACGGCGGCGGACGCGGUGGUCAGGGUGGUGGACGUGGUGGCUACGGCGGGGGCGACUACCCCGACAACUCAGGCAAUGGUGGUGGCGGCGGUGCGCCGCGCCAGCAGAACGGUGACCGCGUGACCGUGGUGACCGCGAGCACUGUCAAAUCUGCAAGGAGGAAGGCCAUGGUGCGUGGCACUGCAAGAAGCGGUUCGAUAAAGGCUUCAACAACAAUGUACGCAACCCUGCAGGCAGCGGUGGUGGCGGACGCGGCGGUGGUGGGCGCGGUGGCGGCGGCGGUAGUGGUGGCAACCCACGCUCCGCCAACUCUGCCCACUCCUACGGCGUGGAUACCAACUGGUAUCUCGACACUGGCGCCACAGAUCACGUUACCGGCGAAUUGGAGAAGCUAG
rnacentral:rRNA from 1 species